rnacentral:rRNA from 1 species
UACGGAGGGUGCAAGCGUUGUCCGGAUUUAUUGGGUUUAAAGGGUGCGUAGGUGGUUUGAUAGGUCCGGGGUGAAAGCCCACAGCUCAACUGUGGAACUGCCCUGGAUACUGUCAGACUUGAGGGUAGACGAGGUUGGCGGAAUAGAAGGUGUAGCGGUGAAAUGCAUAGAUACCUUCUAGAACCCCGAUUGCGUAGGCAGCUGACUAGGCUACACCUGACACUGAGACACGAAAGCGUGGGGAGCGAACAGG